UGAAUAAAUGGAAGCCACAGAACACAUCUUCGAGAAGAUAGAAACAAGAAGAACCCCCUCGAGUUCUAGACAGAAGUAAAGACAGGAAGACAUGGAACUCUUUUCUUGGAAACCAUGCACUAAGAUUCAUCUGGCACGUAAAUAGGUGUGGUUCUCUGCAUGGUCUGGGUUUCAUCCACGUGCCUAAGAAAAUCUAAAUCGAAUACGAUAACAUUUUUCCUUUAAUUUUA